UUCAACUGUGGACCAGCCGGAUGUGCACAUGGACGAUGACGGUGUCGAUACUGAAGAAACUGUAGCUCCAACAGCAUUUCUGCAUUUUAAGAAGAAAGAGCUUAAACGACGUGAGGCCAAGAAGAAGAAGCAGCACACAGUCACCAAAAAAAUCAGUGACCUGACUAAGGAGAGAGACUCCCUCUGCCAACAAGUUGGUCAAAGUCUAUUGGAACACAAGUGUGUUAUUGCACAGUUAGUUCCUAAAAGAUAAUAGCCUAUUUGUAGCAUCGAUUAACAGCAAACACAUCUGUUCAACUGAUGACCCACAGUGAUGCUGAUUAAUUAAAUAGUAAGUCUUGGGAAAUGCAAAUGUUAAAAGAAUGUAUGCGAGUGGACUUGUAUUAUCAUAGGUAAUAAUUUCAAAUUAACAAUUGAAUUGUGUUUUCUAUCAUGUUGUUCACACAGAUAACAGUGGGACAACUGACUCAUCCUCCUCGGCCAACACAUCUCCUGGUGCAUCUUCUUUUUCUUCGUCCUUCAGUUCAUCCAGCUCCAGUUCAUCCAGCUCCAGUUCAUUCAGCUCCACUUCAUUCAACUCCUCUUCAUCCAGCACCUCAUCAACUGCUUUUUCAGAUCAGAAAUGAAGAAAAAACGCAAGAACAAAAAGAUGCACCGCCACCGGAGUCAAAAAAAAAAGGACAAAAGAAAGAAAAAGAAGACAAAAAGGGAACACAGCAGGCGAAGAGCACGUCAUCCUCAAGAGGUCAUCAAGAGAUACAAGAAAGUCCUAAAGGCUUACAAGAAAGGGAGAAAGCUGAGUUUGGCAUAUCAGAAGGUCGGUGUUGACCGAAACACCAUUGUCAGCAAUGCUCCGAUCUGUGAAUUGGCUGUGGUGGCCCCAAAGACAUAUAAGGAGUUACUGGGUGCCCACACGCCACAGCAACGACUUCAGGACUUUUCAAAAAAAUGUCUGGAAGUGAUAAAUAGUGAUCCAAACCUUUUGAGGGAUGUUGAACAUCAAAAGAAGAAGGGAAAACUGAUUCCUCUGUCCAGGAAAGCUUAGGUAUUGAAACACUGCGGGAUGGUGUCACAGAGUAGUUCAGUGUUGCUCAGGUCCGGUUGACCAAAUAUAUUGAGUUCGAAUUGUUCUACAGCAAUCCUUGUUAUAGAUUCAUUUGUUUUUUUCUGUUCUGCUCAAAAAGUUCUAAAAUUCCGUUUUAUUCUGCUGAUCUGCCAUGUGACGACUCAGUAUGUGUGGAAAAGGAAUAAACAGUGUUCAACACUUAA